CGUGUGUUCGUCACUCAGCUCUCGGUACUUCGGCGGACUCGGGUGGAGCUCAGACAGUAAACAUGUCCGUAUACAACAGGGAGAUUCUGAUCGCCACCCGAAUCCUGUGCAGCAGCGGUGGAGCCAUGCAGCUGCAGCAGCUGCAGUGGGAGCUGCUGCAGCGCUGCUCCGCCAGCCAUGAAGACAUCCUCUACGUCAUCAGGCGGUGCCCCCGCUUCCUGCUGGUCCCUGGUCCCGAGGGGGACGACACCGUGGUGGCCAAGACGUCGUUGCGCCUGUGCAGGAACUACGGGCUGGGGAAGCGGUGCGGCGGCUGUGAACAGCUGCAUCUGUGCAGGUUCUUCAUCUAUGGAAACUGCAGGUUCGGCAAGGGCAGGAAACCGUGUAAGUUCUCACACAACAUCCAGUCGGAGCAGAACUCCAGGUUACUGAGAGAAUGUACUUUGCACGAGCUCAGCGAGGACGACCUCUUCCUGCUGCUGCUGCAGAACGACCCAUCGCUGCUGCCAAAGGUGUGUGCUCACUACAACAAAGGCUCGCCUCCCCACGGCUGCUGCACCUUCCAGGACUCCUGCACCAAAGUCCACCUGUGCCAGCACCUGAUUCAGGGCGACUGCGUGUUCGGGUCCAAGUGUAAGCGACAGCACGCCAUAGAUGAGCCGCGCCGGCUCCAACUGGAGGAGAAAGGCCUGAGCAGAGACGUCAUCCGGAAGCUGCCCUCCAUCUACAGGAACAUCCACCACAUUGAUGCUGCGUCUGAUGACUCCACCCCCACAGAGGUUCAGCCGUGUGCAGCCACUACAGACAACAACAUCUGUCUGCACUUCAUCAGAAACAACUGCAGGUUCCACAACGAGUGUCGUCAGGUUCACUUCCACCUGCCCUACAAGUGGGAGGUGUUUGACGCAGGCACCUGGACUGACCUACAGCACAUGGAGGACAUGGAACGAGACUUCUGUGACCCAUCUAAGACUCAGAGUUGUGGAGCUCGGCCCGUUGACUUUCUGACCAUGACUCGGGGGUCGCAGGGCGUUCGCCGCCUUUCCACGGUUUCCUCAGUAACAAAACCACCGCACUACCUGCUGACAACAGAGUGGAGGUGGUUUUAUAAAGGGGACCAGGAGAACUGGGUGGAGUAUGGAGACAUGGACGAGAAGCAGCGAACCACGUCACAGACAUCCAGGACUUUGGAGGAAAGGUACCUGUCUGACAGGACAGCUGAAGUCAAGGUCCUGAAAGGACACAGAGAGUACGUCAUCAGCUUCAAAGACAUGUACCAGAGGAACCUCAAACACAAGACCAAAAGAAAAGUCCGUCGCCGUCCUCGCUUUGUCUCCGUGGCCGAGGUCAAACUGGUCUCAGUAGAAAAGCCAGAAACACAUGUGGUCCUGGUGAACUAGGACCAGUGAUGCUGUCUGCACCUUUCUGAAGAGUCUGUUACAGUUGAUCUUGGCAUCAUUUGGAUCGGAACCUUAUGCUCUGAAGUUACAAAAAAGAAUUUAGUAUCUUUACAUAACCGAAAGUUUGGAAAGACUCAAAUCUGCCGUGGACGAAUAAUCUUCUAAGUGCUUGAAGGUUCUCUCGUCUUAAUCUGGAUCAAUAAAGCGUCUGUCGAUCUCCAA